GUUGCUUGCGAUCCGCCAAUAAACUGAGAGAAGAAGAAGAAGAAGUAUCUGUUCUUAUCAGUUUAAUAUCUGAUAUGUCCUCUAUAUGAGGACAACAUAUUAAGCCGAUUUUUGGCAGCGGGAGUUGAAAAAGGAGCUAGCUCCGUUCACUCCAAGCAUCGCCCCGGUACUGCAGUGCCGCCGGGAAUGGUGCACGCUUC